CCCCCCUCGGGGCCGCGCGCCCGCCAGCACCGGGGGGCGGGGGGAUGACGUCGUGGGAGCAGUGGGCGUCCUUCCUAGCGGCCCCUCGGACGCACAGGGCAGCCGGCAUCCAAAACCUCCGCUGGCACCGCUCUCUUCGGUGUGGGGACGGCACUGAAGCUCCCUGGUGCAGAAGGUCCGCGACCGACCCGUCUCCUCCUGCUCAGCCGUACCGUGGGGGUGAGCCGUGUUGGCCAAGCACAGCUGUGCAAGGGGGGGCAAAUGCAGCAGCGCUCGUUGAAGCGCUCUUGCGUCUCCAUUCGCUGUCACACCUAGCAAGAAGAGAUGCCCGUCUGCAUUAGGAGUGCAAUGGACGGUAUUUAAAACAAUGUUUGUUCUCAUUCAGAACAGCCCUGUGGAAAAGGACUUGAGGGUGCUGGUGCGUGAAGAGGCAGACGUGAGCCAGCAGCGUGCUCUUGCAGCCCGGAAGGCGAAGUGUGAAGUGUGUCCUGGGCCGCAGCAAAAGGAGGGUGACAGCAGGGAGAGGGAGGUGAUUGUGCCCCCUCUGCUCUGCCCUUCUGAGGCCCCAUCUGGAGUACCGUGUCCAGGCCUGGGGCUCCCGGUAUGGGAGAGAUGUGGAGCUGUUGGAGCACGUCUAGGGGAGGGCCGCACAAAUGAUCCAAGGAUUGG
ensembl:lncRNA